ACCCAGGUGGCUCAGUGGGUUGAGCAUCUGACUCCUGAUCUUAGGGUCAUGGGUUCAAGCCCCAUUUUGGGUU